rnacentral:rRNA from 1 species
UACGAAGGGUGCAAGCGUUACUCGGAAUUACUGGGCGUAAAGCGUGCGCAGACGGUUGCGUAAGUCAGAUGUGAAAGCCCCGGGCUCAACCUGGGAAUUGCAUUUGAGACUGCGUAGCUAGGGUGCGGAAGAGGGAAGCGGAAUUUCCGGUGUAGCGGUGAAAUGCGUAGAUAUCAGGAGGAACACCAAUUGCGAAGGCAGCUCGCUGGGACGUUACUGACGCUGGAGACGCGAAAGCGUGGGGAGCAAACAGG